UAUCAUCCAUCAUCCAUGUUUUUUUCUUUCGAAAAUUUUAUUGAACCGGGUUGGAUGCGUUGCUGCGAGAAAAAACAGAAAAUGAAAUCGCCAAAGCAUAGUUGGUUAAAUGCUUUGCAUUAUAAGAUCAAAAAAAGUUAAUAGAGCUAAAGGAUUGCUGGAGAAUUCAUGGAUUAAAAAUAGAUAUAAGGCUCCCUGAGGCCGCCUCAACACGUGGUCUAGUUUGCCGGCUUUGUUAAUAUGGUACAUUUUUUAACAAGCUGCCCUUUUUCAUAACCCGGCAUCUGGAAGUAUAUGAUGCAGAGCCGCACAUUUCAUCAUGUUGCCAUUUUAGUUGGGCACUCGCUCCGGAAAACGUGACCAAGAUGCAUAUGCUGAUCAUCCGCUUUAUUCGUACCGCAGAUGUGUUUGUUGGUAAUGAUUCAACAUGAAGACGGAACUACCAAGACACAAUUGGGGUUUAUACGUUGCAUUUAAAUAAGUGAACCUCUGUUAAAAGAAGUCUGAACUAUGAACGGCUCCAUCAGCUAUAUUCUAUAUGGAUUUCACCCACUAUCAAGCUAGUGUAAAGUCCGACAUGACCUGAAGACUUCACUGGAUUGUAUUGCUUGUACUGCUUCAAAGAUUUGCUUUCCACUAGCCAUACAAUGUUAUAAGGCAGGUGCCGGCACGCCCAUAUCUAUUGUGCAUAGGAAGUGUGCAUAGAGUGCCGGCCACUGAUAGAAAGAUUGAUCAGUACUGUUCUAAGGAUACGACACUUGCUUGAGAUCCAUUUUAAGAACUUUGGGAAACAUAUUUAAAGGUAGCUUUGCCUCAUUGGGGACUGCGAAACGACUCAGAACUACAUCAGUGAGGUAAAAUGUUCUUUAAUUAUUCUUGUUGCUCUUUUCAAAUGAUGAAGAAGCCCUUAGUGGUUUUAUCUUCUUAGAAUCUCAAACAUCAUGCUGAUUUUGUCUUCUUUCCCCAACUGAUACAUCAUUUCAAUCGAAGACUUGAUUACAUUUGUAAACACAACGUACUAAUUAUGUUAUCUCUCUCUC